rnacentral:rRNA from 1 species
GGCGUGCCUAACACAUGCAAGUCGUACGAGAAAACACGUCCUUCGGGGUGUGGAGUAAAGUGGCGCACGGGUGAGUAACACGUGGGUAACCUGCCCUAUGGUUCGGGAUAACUGGCCAGCAAAGGCCCGCUAAUACCGGAUGAGACCACAUGAGCCUCGGCUCAAGGGGUCAAAGUCGGCCUCUCAACGAAGCCGGGCGCCAGAGGAGGGGCCCGCGGACCGAUUAGCUUGUUGGUAGGUAACGGCCUACCAAGGCCAAGAUGGUUAGCUGGUCUGAGAGGAUGAUCAGCCACACUGGAACUGAGACACGGUCCAGACUCCUACGGGAGGCAGCAGUGAGGAAUAUUGCGCAAUGGGGGGAAACCCUGACGCAGCAACGCCGCGUGGGUGAAGAAGGCUUUCGGGUUGUAAAGCCCUGUCAGGUGGGAAGAACCUUCUGCAGGUGAAUAGUCUGCGGAACUGACGGUACCACCAAAGGAAGCACCGGCUAACUCCGUGCCAGCAGCCGCGGUAA